rnacentral:rRNA from 1 species
GAUUUCUGGUGUGGUGCAGCCGGCCCGCCACGGUGACGUGUGUGAGUGCCGGCUUGGCCAAGCCAUCCUUCUAGCGACACUGGUGCUACUCUUCACUGAGCCGGUACCAGCGCACUAGAUCGUUUACUUUGAAAAAAUUAGAGUGUUUAAAGCAGGCGUUGCAGGCUAUGAAUACAUUAGCAUGGAAUAAUAAGUUAGGACUUUGGUUCUAUUUUGUUGGUGUUUGCGGACUGAAGUAAUGAUUGAUAGGGAUAGUUGGGGGUGCUAGUAUUCAGUGGCCAGAGGUGAAAUUCUUGGAUUCACUGAAGACUAACUUAUGCGAAAGCAUU